rnacentral:rRNA from 1 species
GAUGAACGCUGGCGGCGUGCCUAAUACAUGCAAGUCGAGCGAACGGACGAGAAGCUUGCUUCUCUGAUGUUAGCGGCGGACGGGUGAGUAACACGUGGAUAACCUACCUAUAAGACUGGGAUAACUUCGGGAAGCCGGAGCUAAUACCGGAUAAUAUUUUGAACCGCAUGGUUCAAAAGUGAAAGACGGUCUUGCUGUCACUUAUAGAUGGAUCCGCGCUGCAUUAGCUAGUUGGUAAGGUAACGGCUUACCAAGGCAACGAUGCAUAGCCGACCUGAGAGGGUGAUCGGCCACACUGGAACUGAGACACGGUCCAGACUCCUACGGGAGGCAGCAGUAGGGAAUCUUCCGCAAUGGGCGAAAGCCUGACGGAGCAACGCCGCGUGAGCGAUGAAGGUCUUCGGAUCGUAAAACUCUGUUAUUAGGGAAGAACAUAUGUGUAAGUAACUGUGCACAUCUUGACGGUUCCUAAUCAGAAAGCCACGGCUAACUACGUG